ensembl:snRNA U6 U6 spliceosomal RNA
GUGCUUACUUCUGUAGCAUAUAUACCAUAAAAUUGGACAAAGACAUUAGCACGACUCCCGCACAAGGAUGACACCCAAAUUUAUUACAUGUUCCCUAUUUUU